rnacentral:rRNA from 1 species
AUAACGGUCCUAAGGUAGCGAAAUUCCUUGUCGGGUAAGUUCCGACCCGCACGAAUGGUGUAACGAUCUGGGCACUGUCUCAACUACCCACCCGGCGAAAUUGUAGUACCGGUGAAGAUGCCGGUUACCUGCGGCAAGACGGAAAGACCCCAUGGAGCUUUACUGUAGCCUGAUAUUGGGUUUCGGAAAUCUAUGUACAGGAUAGGCGGGAGACUUGGAAACAUGAGCGUCAGCUUGUGUGGAGUCGAUGUUGGGAUACCGCCCUUAGGUUUCUGGAAUUCUAACCUGCGGCCGUGAAUCCGGUCGGGGGACAUUGUCAGGUGGGCAGUUUGACUGGGGCGGUCGCCUCCGAAAAGGUAACGGAGGCGCUCAAAGGUUAGCUCAGCACGGACGGAAACCGUGCCUCUGAGUGUAAACGCAAAAGCUAGCCUAACUGCGAGGGUGACGGCCCGAGCAGUAACGAAAGUUGGAGUUAGUGAUCCGGCGGUAUGUGAAUGGAAAUGCCGUCGCUCAACGGAUAAAAGCUACCCUGGGGAUAACAGGCUGAUCUCCCCCAAGAGUCCACAUCGACGGGGAGGUUUGGCACCUCGAUGUCGGCUCAUCGCAUCCUGGGGCUGUAUUCGGUCCCAAGGGUUUGGCUGUUCGCCAAUUAAAGCGGUACGCGAGCUGGGUUCAGAACGUCGUGAGACAGUUCGGUCCCUAUCUGUCGUGGGCGCAGGAUAUUUGAGGAGCUCUGUCCUUAGUACGAGAGGACCGGGAUGGACGUACCUCUGGUGCACCAGUUGUCAUGCCAAUGGCACGGCUGGGCAGCUAUGUACGGAACGGAUAAACGCUGAAAGCAUCUAAGCGUGAAGCCGACUCCAAGAUUAGAUAUCCCAUCGUAUAACGAGUAAGACCCCUUGAAGACUACGAGGUUGAUAGGCUGCGUGUGUAAGUGCCGUGAGGCAUUCAGCUUGGCAGUACUAAUAGGUCGAGGGCUUGACCAC